rnacentral:rRNA from 1 species
GACAGAGGGUGCGAACGUUGCUCGGAAUUACUGGGCGUAAAGCGCGUGUAGGCGGAUUGGCAAGUCGGGCGUGAAAUCCCUGGGCUCAACCCAGGAACUGCACUCGAAACUGCCAGUCUUGAGGAAUGGAGAGGGAAGCGGAAUUCCUGGUGUAGAGGUGAAAUUCGUAGAUAUCAGGAGGAACACCGGUGGCGAAGGCGGCUUCCUGGACAUUUACUGACGUUGAGACGCGAAAGCGUGGGGAGCGAACAGG